GACGAACCGAGCGAACGUUGUUCGGAAUCACUGGGCUUAAAGGGCGCGUAGGCGGGCUGUCAAGUCUGGGGUGAAAUCCCACGGCUCAACCGUGGGACUGCCUUAGAUACUGACGGCCUCAAGGGAGAUAGGGGCGAGCGGAACUGUGAGUGGAGCGGUGAAAUGCGUUGAUAUUCACAGGAACUCCGGUGGCGAAGGCGGCUCGCUGGAUCUUUUCUGACGCUGAGGCGCGAAAGCUAGGGGAGCAAACGGG
rnacentral:rRNA from 1 species